rnacentral:rRNA from 1 species
UACGUAGGGGCCUAGCGUUGUCCGGAUUUAUUGGGCGUAAAGAGCUCGUAGGUGGCGUCGUAAGUCGGGUGUGAAAUUUCGGAGCUUAACUCCGAAACUGCAUUCGAUACUGCGGUGCUUGAGGACUGGAGAGGAGACUGGAAUUUACGGUGUAGCAGUGAAAUGCGUAGAGAUCGUAAGGAAGACCAGUGGCGAAGGCGGGUCUCUGGACAGUUCCUGACACUGAGGCACGAAGGCUAGGGGAGCAAACGGG